UUACAAUAACAAUAACAAACAUAAUACAAUAAAUAAAUGAAAAAUUUGACAUUAUUACUGCUUUCUAAAGACAGAAAUCAUGACACUAAUAUUUUUUGUUUUUAUUCUUUACAAUUAUUUUCUACAAUUAUUUUUCUUUAUUAUUUUUAAUUAUUUCAGGUUUAUUCAUCUAUAGUUACAAGGAUACAACUUAAUAGAAAAUAAAUAUUUUUCAGGAAAUAUUCUGAACAUAUUUAUAAUACUUCUAUUUCUCAUAGUAUAAAUAGGUCUUACAAAUUACAAUACAAGUAGUUGUCUUUAUAUACUAGAGGGUCCGGCCUUUAGAGUAAAAAAUAAACCACUGCAUACAAGGGCAAACCAAUUAAAUCUAGUCAAAGCUUUGUCUUUUAUUCAGGUGCUCAUGACCUUCUUGGAGUGAAAGGAACUAUAGCAAACAACAGAUCUUCUAAAAACUUCUAAAGCACUGAAAAAUUUUCAACCACACUUGACUGUGCCACAUGACUCCAAAAAAAAAAAAGAAAAAAAAAGUGUUGACUAGGCUGAAUUGUUUAAAUAAAAAACUGCUUGUUCCCAUGCCAGAGCCCAAUGUGCCACUAAGAAGUCCAAGAGACUUUCAGUUCCCAGAUAUGAGUCCUAUAAACGUUGAUCCCCGACACCACAACCGAUGCGCUACAGAAAUAAAAUCUCUUAUUAGAGCCCAGACCCUGAAAUUACCCAAAUUCAGCGCACAUGGAAAUCAUAAGACAGCGUCAGCAAGGGGGAAGUUUGCACCAAGUGGCUUUUCAGCAUGUGGCAAUAGAGGGCCGGGCAUUUCAAACGUGCCAAUUAGUUCCCUCUGCCAGAAUGAAGUAGGUAAGAGGGUGGAAGAGGAAGAUGCCAAAUUAUACUGACACAAACAAAACUGCUAGAAAUACCCAAAUAUCCACUAUACAACUGUAUAUCUUGCUUAGAGGGCAUCUCCUAUGGUUUCAUGCUCAUUAAUUAAUGACAGCUGCUAUGACACGUACAUUAUUAAUGUAAAACAUGCAGACCUAGAGUAAAUGUAUCCAGAAAAUCCAUUUCAGGCACAAUGUUUUUAUUAUAUUUCUUAUCUUAGCAGGUCACAAUGAUCGGCUGCAUCUGAAAUUCGUCCAACAAUUCAGCAAAUCAACACUCCACUCACACAUGUGGCAUUAUCAGUUCAUCUUAAUGCCAGUCAAAAUAUAGACCACACAUUUUCUCCAACCAGCCUUUAGCCUCAGGAGUCAUUCUGUCUUUAUGAGCAAAACCAGAACUGACAGAAUACUAAACUAAUUACAUGGACUGAACGAAGAGUUGUAUCAGAAGACUGCACAGGAUCAAGAAAAUGAUGUUGUCCCUGGUCAAAUGAUUCCAGACUUCUGAUGCAAUUGCACAAAACGUGCUCUUGAGUUUUUCCAGAUCAUUCAAUAUUGCUGACAUGCUUCAUGUGCACUUUGAUAUUCUUAAUAUAUGCUUGUUUUUUUGAUUGUUUGUUUUUAAUAAAUAAAAACUCUGGAUGGUUGAAACCCUCGCCUGCAGUGCUCACGUAUGGUCAUGUAUAUUAUAGGCUCCCUUCUUAAAAUAACUCCUGACCGACAGAAUUGCUGUGUAGAAGGACCUGGGAAAGGGCAACAAAGCCGGAGUAACAAAUAAUGCAUAAUGUCUAUAGCAUAAUAACAAGAGUGGCAUUGUUCUGCUGGUGCCCCACUGCAUAAAUGAUGUUAAAGGGACAGUUCACUCAAAAAUUAAAAGUCUAUCAUCAUUUAUUCACCCUCACGUUGUUGUAAACCUGCAUGACUUCCUUUUUUCCACAACAGGAGCUGUAAGGCACAAUGUCUUGACUGACACACAUGAAAAAUAUGCAGUGAAAGUGAAUAGUAACUGAAUGCCAUCCUGCCGAACAUCUCCCUUUGUUUUACAUUGAAAUAAUAAAGUCGUACAUGUUUUGAGUCGUUACAACAUUGAGUAAAUGAUGACAGGAUUUUGAUUUUUGGCUGAACUAGCGUUUUAACGCGCGUGAGCGUUACUUAAAUCUCACUGUACGUUUCUUUGAAGCCCCACCAAAAAUAUCGCCAAAACAGGUCAAAUAAUACUUUAUAACAGAGCGGUAUGGAUAUAAGAGUUGGUGUGAACUGCAACUGUGAAAUAUUACGAUUUGGAAACGUAAAAUAAAUAAAUAAACCUCAUUAUGCGUUAUAGCAAACAUAGCGAUGUUUGAUUAUAAUGCGAUUAGAACAGAACUCAGCAGGCAUCGUCUUUAAAGCAGCCUACGGCUUUUGGUUAAAGAACAGAAAAAAGAAAAAGAAAAAAAAAGACCACUAUGUUUGUAUAAUAUAUCUAUGUGGGAGUCUGCGUUUCAAAAUAUGCACGCUCAUCCACCGACGGUGGCAUCUUCAAAAAAAAAAAAAAAAAAAAAAAAUGUACUAAAUCUUAUCCAUGUACGUGUUUGGAAUUAAUUUUUCAUAAUCACACCCGACUGAACCAGUUCAAAUGUAUGCAUAAGUAAACAAAACAUUGACGCGAUUGCACAACACUAAUAUGUGGCAUAUUUUACAUAAGAUAAAGCAUCUUAUAAGAAGUGAGCUCGCGCACAAGCAGCUUAGUGAUAGAAGAAUGUCCCGCGACACUUGCUCUGUAUGUUUAUGUAUUUUACCAGAGAAUAUGUGCUGUGCAAUAUAGAUUACCUGUGGUCAAGAGUUCAACUUCAUUAUCUAGUUCGAUUACAUGACAGAACUACAUUGCGCCCUGCACUUGCUCCUAAUCAAGCGCUUGACAAGAAAUUGAGACCACGAGGCACUAAAAUGAGAGUUACAGCGACAAAAUAUGCACUCCGAUCCGGCUAUGGGUAUGUUUUGGUGACCUCUCAGAAAUUGCCCAGCAGUAGCUGAACCAGUUAAAUGCUCACUUAAAGGCUGGCUAAGAAAUGGAAAGCAGAAUCCUCUUGAGAGGAGCUCCAGGAUGAGGAUGACGGCUCCGGGCUCGCCUGUCCACACCCCCACAAACACUAGGCUGAAGCACACUGCCUUUGCUCGCCAGAUUUUUCCAGGAACUGAGGAAAUAGAGUGAGUGGCUGGGAGUGGGUGUCGUCUGUAACUUAUUUGCAUCCGCACCGAGUCUGCUUUCUGUGGCUGAGGUACAGACAUCAAUAGGAAGAAAAGCAUGAAUAUGGAAACGAGAGAAGUUCUGCUUUAGGUGCAAAUGACCCAGAUGAAGAUCCACACAACCUUUCUUUCACACGUUCUCUUUCCUUUUAAAAGCAUUCACACCUGAUGCUCAGGGGUGUAUGGCAAAUGAUGUUAUUCUAGAAAAGUGAACAGAACAUACACACUUUAACA